ACGAACGCUGGCGGCGUGCUUAACACCUGCAAGUCGAACGGAAAGGCCCUGCUUUUGUGGGGUGCUCGAGUGGCGAACGGGUGAGUAACACGUGAGUAACCUGCCCUUGACUUUGGGAUAACUUCAGGAAACUGGGGCUAAUACCGGAUAGGAGCUCCUGCUGCAUGGUGGGGGUUGGAAAGUUUCGGCGGUUGGGGAUGGACUCGCGGCUUAUCAGCUUGUUGGUGGGGUAGUGGCUUACCAAGGCUUUGACGGGUAGCCGGCCUGAGAGGGUGACCGGCCACAUUGGGACUGAGAUACGGCCCAGACUCCUACGGGAGGCAGCAGUGGGGAAUAUUGCACAAUGGGCGGAAGCCCGAUGCAGCAACGCCGCGUGCGGGAUGACGGCCUUCGGGUUGUAAACCGCUUUCGCCUGAGACGAAGCGUGAGUGACGGUAAUGGGUAAAGAAGCACCGGCUAACUACGUG
rnacentral:rRNA from 1 species